GGCAGAUGAUGUCUCUCACGAUGGUCUGCGGAUGCCCUUGUUGGCAGUGCCGAAGCACUAAUAAUUCAGCUGAUGCCAGGAU